GACGAGCCACACGAACGUUAUUCGGAAUUACUGGGCUUAAAGGGUGCGUAGGCGGUGCGGAAAGUUGGGUGUGAAAUCCCUCGGCUCAACCGAGGAACUGCGCCCAAAACUACCGCACUCGAGGAAGAUAGAGGUGAGCGGAACUUACGGUGGAGCGGUGAAGUGCGUUGAUAUCGUAAGGAACACCCGUGGCGAAAGCGGCUCACUGGGUCUUUUCUGACGCUGAUGCACGAAAGCUAGGGGAGCAAACGGG
rnacentral:rRNA from 1 species